AUAAAUAUCUCAUAACUAGUUAGUCAUAGUUGCUAGAAAAAGUAGCUAAAUCUAGCUAUAAAGUAGCUAAGUUGGCAACACUGCGUUCAUUGUUCGGGGAAUUACCAUCUACAAACAAUGCGCGAAUUCAGAGCACUAUUAUUAAGUAUUGAGAUUCAUUUCAUUCAGUCAUAUGUUUAAUGCAUACGAGAGUACGAUUUCUGAUACAUAAAAAGUAAUUAUAGAGUUUAGAGCUAAGAGCAUUCAAAACUAAGAUGGCUAAUGGCUGCGCUUGGUGUUUUGUUAGUGCUAUCGGCUGGGUCGUGCUAAAGACCGGGAAAGGGCUAUGGAUAUUGACAAAAUUGGGUUUCACGACUGUCGGUGUAGCGGCGGGCAGCUUAGCCGCGCUUGCCAUGUCAGCUGUUGGAAACGUGCAAGCCGGUAGCGCCAUAGCGCGGGCAACCUCUACUGGCAUGAGAGCUAUGUGGUAAAUGAGGAUGGGCCUUUGAGUUACACUACUGGGUGUUUAUUACAGAUUUAUUCUAAUUUCAAAUGUAUGGAGUUUUUGUAAAAUAAAACAAAAUAUGAUUGCAGAUUACAAAAUGA